UACGUAGGGGCUAGCGUUGUCCGGAAUCAUUGGGCGUAAAGCGCGUGUAGGCGGCCCGGUAAGUCCGCUGUGAAAGUCGGGGGCUCAACCCUCGGAUGCCGGUGGAUACUGUCGGGCUUGAGUACGGAAGAGGCGAGUGGAAUUCCUGGUGUAGCGGUGAAAUGCGCAGAUAUCAGGAGGAACACCGAUUGCGAAGGCAGCUCCGCUGGGACGUUACUGACGCUGAGACGCGAAAGCGU
rnacentral:rRNA from 1 species